rnacentral:piRNA from 1 species
UCCCUGUGGUCUAGGUGUCCACACACUACCC